rnacentral:lncRNA from 1 species
AGACAGCAGAGGAGACUGUCAGCAGACCACCUUGGAGGGGAUGCUAGGAGCUGCCGAAUGUGUGAUUCAAAGAUUAAUUCCAUGUGUUUGGAGAAGAAGCCCUAUCCUCAACACAAAGGUUGGCCACAUUCCAGCCAAGGUAGCACGGAGUGAAGGCCCGCGGAGGGAGUGCUGGGCUUUCCUGAACUACUUCAGUACACCUUGCUGUGCCUCGGCCUGCUGUGUUUCAUCCCCAUGGCUGUCCUCAGUGAUGUGCAUGGUCACUGCUCCCUUCACCGCUGAGAAGACGGGCACAGGACAGUCAGGGGACGUGUCCAGGGUCCCACAGCAGGAAGGGCUGGAGCCAGAAUGUGGUCUGAGAGGCUGGAUAUACAAAGAGACAAUGGCGUGACCAUCUGUACAAAUGGAACUAUGGCCCACAACCUGAAGCAGCCAGCCCAGGAAGCCAACCCAUUACCUGCAGCAGCCAGGCUGGACGCUGGCCUGCCCUCGCUGAUAGUCAAGUCUAGUUCUACGUGGCUCCAAACACCUCCACCAUGAGCUCAAGGCAGUGACUGACUGAAAAACCCUAUUAUAGACCACAACAUUGAACCCAACAUCCCCCUAAGUAAAUUGUACUCACAUCAUUGGUCUUAUGGGGAAAUUUUAAGACCUCCCACUUGCAAGGUUUUAUAACCCUCUAUGGAAUUUUGAAGAAAGAGUAAAAUGCAUCCAAAAAAAAAAAAAACUAAACUGGAUAAAUUCUAAGGCCUCUUCAGGUCUUAAGAUGGCCAUUUUCUAGGUCCUCUUGUUGCAGCAGUGAAAUCCACAAACAUGGACAAGUCAGUCAAUUACGUACCUUUCAGAGAAAACUUCUGACUUAGGAAUUCCAGCUAUUUCGCCCAACCCAUAUUAGACUGUGUUAUAAAGACAUGGUAAAUUACAUCACGAAGGGAAGAGCAGAGGAAACAUAAUAUUCCUUCAAGACCCAUCAGCUCAGAUGUUAGCAGAACACUCCUAAGGAGGAAAACAAGAAAUUUUGGGUUUGAACUUGGUACUUCCCAGCAGCCCUGGGAGUGGGGUCAGAAGCCC